ensembl:lncRNA
UGAUCGGCAGACAGCAUCUGGGGGAUGUUAUUUGGUGCAGCAUUAUCUUUUUGAUAGCAGGUAGCUCAAAGCUGACGCAAGAAAAAAAAGAACUAUAGGCAUAUGUUAUUUGGUAUUGCACCUAUAAUGAAAGAUUGCUUUUGGAAAAGGUGUCUGCAGAAGAUUACAUGUGAUGUUUAUGAAAAAAUGUCUGAUAAGGAAACAAAACAUGAAACCAACACUGAAAUUGAAGAAACGUUUGAUUGAGACUUCAGCAGGUAGGUCUCUUUGAUGAUGACAAGGAAGCUUGGCUUUUCCCUCUUAGCUCCCUUUGUCCUCUAUCCGGCUCUGAAGGCUCUUGUCUUCAGCCUUCAGCUUUGUCUCAAGCGGGCACCUGGUAGUUGUGGAAGCUCCUCUCUAUCUCGUCUGGUGUCUGUGGAGGCAGCACGGGCAUUGAGUUUCCUGAUACUUGAUUGAUAGGUGCCACAUAAUGGAAACAAUUUUACUUCAGCGCUGUGAGCAGAGUCCUUCGUUCAAUUUUCUCCCUUGACAUGACCCUGCCUAUUUUGUCCUUCACCUACGGCUGAUGCAGGAUAGCCUUUUAGCAUUCACCGCUCACAGCCCUGACCUCCUCUCAGCCGUUGAUAUCACUUCCCGAGCACCACCACCUCACUCUAAAGCCUUUUGCCUUUUAAGAGAAGCCUCAUUUGCCUCCCAUGUGCCCCUCUGGGUCCAGGGAACUCACCAUGGGGAUGCCUGGGUUGGUCGCCCCCAGGGGGGCCCAGGAGAGCUAGCGUCUUCCUACAUGGCUCAUUGUGGUUACAGACUGGGUUAAACUCCAAUCUGAGUCUUGUCCAGAGUUGGGUUUCAGGUGUAGUCUGGGCACAAAGUUAAUUUUGACAUCACUGUAUAGAUUUCUAAAACUUUUUUCAUAGGGUAUAAGUACUGUAAAAAUGGAUAAAUAAAAAGGUAUUUUAAUUAGAGAUUAAUAAUAUUAGGGUAAUAUUACAGUUGGUUGCAGUUUAUAUAAAUUAGUUUGUGUGAUAUGUACUUCAGCACGUGUGUUAUCCCUGACAGUCUAACGUCGUAGUGGUAAAAUGUCAAUCUUUGAUUUGUCUUUGUUAAUUGGUUUGUACUGACACUAACAGCCAAUCCAACUCCGUUCUUGGGUAGAUGGGUGGGGCUUAGGCGGCCAUCAAGUUUUAGGCCUCUACGCUCCAAAGCUAUGACUCUCGUUUGUCACGUGUGUGCGAAACUGGGCGGCAUAUUAUAUUGAUGUUCACGUGUAAUAAAUGUCAAACUGUUUUUGUUAAAUGCUUUUGAAGUCUGUUUGCUCAGUUGAAGUCCAGUACAAAAAUGUUCUGGCAAGAGCUGGUUAAAAGUGGUAACAAACAAAAAAUAUGAGACAACGGACUUAAUAAGAGGCAUCAACCUUUUGUUUUAUUCAUCAAAUUUGAUUGUAGGCACCACCAUUUAUAUGAGUUUUCAAAAUAAGGGAACAACAAUUAUAAGACAAAUAGUAUUAAGGUAUAAGAACAGGUAAUGAUAGGGCCAUUAUAUUCAAAACUGAACCCAGGGCUCCGCCCAUAGUACUACUACACCUAGCAGAUUAUCUUAUUGUUAUACAGCCACAUGGGACGGAUGUUACACAAACAUGAGAAAAUAUUUGUUCCAUUGAGUGCAACUCUGUCAUACAGACAACAAGUUGCCAUUAAAGGAAUUGCCAUGGUCAGAUGUGACAAUGGUACUUGGUGUUUGGCAGUAGCAUUGAAACAGCAGUCCAUUUUUGUCCUGACAAACAGAGUGCGUCAUUGAGGUAUUAAAAAGUCAACAAUUUUGGAACAAAACUAACCUCAUCGUCCAAGAAAUGAGACCUUUGGGGAAACCAUGUGCGUUCCCUUCUGGCAUAUCCAACAUUUCUCUGCAUCAAACGACACACACACAGACACACACACAUACAACAUGGAUGAAGCGUGACAGCGGUCCGUGAGUGAGGAGUUAGCAGGUGGGGUCACCACCCUCCCCCUCUUUAGAGCUGACACACAGAAAGAAGAAACACUUAGGCCCAACACACACAGACUCCUGCACAUGCAUUCAUGCUCACUGAGACUCCUUGAUACCCAAUGGGGAGAUGAGCGUUCAAGCCUCCGUUAAAGCCCCAGCUGUCCCCUGCAGCCCCCCAUUCUUUCUCCCUCCUCAUCUCUUCAUGCACUCUGUAUCUCCACCCCCCUCUCUCUCUCUCUCUCUCUCUCACUCACACAAACACAUGCAUCUGUGUGCAAACACAUACUCGACAAUGCCCACACACUUGGCUUAGCAUCUGUGCAGGCAUCGUAGCCUCUAGUAUACACAGUCUUUGAGCUAAAGCGCCGUAUAAGCUUCUCCGUCUGUUUUUCCAGCCGCUCAAUGUGCAUGUGCGCCCUUAAUCUACUCACUGCGAUACUGGCUACAACAUUCGGAGGGGUAAAGGUUGGCCUCAGGGCGGCUUUCUCGGCUUUGUUUGAUCCACGCAGAUUGGCUUCCGUUGGCAACAGAGUGUGCGUGUUUCUGCACUUCCGCAUGUACCGUACAUGUGCUCGCUCUUGUAUGUUUAUACAUGUUUACGGUUAUCUCCCUGGUGUUAUUGACUUCGAUGGACAUGUAUUGAGGAUAUAUGAGUGUGUUUCUGCGUACCGUUUUCCUUCCAAAAAUCUCCUCCACAGGCCACGUAGCACCUGUGGUUGAGUGGAACGAGGUGCAAGAGAGAAAGACGAGCAGGUGAUGCAGGUGUUGACUGCCUCAUCACAUCAAACUAGUGGGGUUAAAUCUGAAAUGAUGUCAAAGAAAACUCUGCAGAAUAGUAUUUAUUCCUCCACACCAACAAUGGUGUUUCCAUCGGUCUCGAUUAAGAAAUACUACUUUUGAGCCUUGCAGACUUUCUCAUACUUGAUCUCAUACAUGAUCAAACUUCUAGCUCGUUCAGCAUUCUGACAGAAAGAACAAAAACACGAUGUAUUAAAACACAGUUACACCAGUUACCCAUUCUGGACACAAGUCAUUUGUUCAGAUUAAGCUGGUUAGGUGUGGACGUGAUUCAUGUGAAGGAGGAUAAUGAACAUCAAGAUUUGAUUUAGUUGCUAAAACUCUUGUUUUUAUUGUUACUUGGGAUCAUAGCUCACUAAUAUAUUCUUCCUGAGGAAUGGAUGUAAUCAACACAAAUUGUCAAAUGGUGCAAAUGGGCAGGUGCCUUCAUUUUUCCGAUUGGCCUUUGGGUGCAAACGCUGCAAGCAAGAAACUCGUGUUUCUGUACCAGGAAUCCCUGUGAGGAGAGGGAGGUGGGAGGUGGGAGGAGAGGGAGGAGUGGGAGGAUCAAGUGGCCGCAUUUUGUCCUUUUCCUCCUCAGCAGGUGAUGCUCAUGUGUUCAGCUCGGAGCAAUUAACCCCGAAGUGUGUAAAUGGAUUAACAUAGAUGUGGGAGGGAUUUCUUUCUGCCAAGCAGGGUGGGUUUUAUUUUCUUUCUUUUUUUACUUUUAAGCCUCUUUCUUAUCAUUAUUUUGUUUGCCUGGGGCUGUGGGGGUCUCCGAAGGAGUUUCUAAAGAGCAAUGAUGACUGGAGGGAAAAGGAAGUUGCACUUAUGGUUAGAAUCCUCCUGAGAUCCAACUAUUCUAAAGUGGUAGAAAAUGGUUGCUUAAUGAUAUAGAUUUUAAUUAGGGCUGUCAAUAGAUUUUUUUUAAAUUGACUAAUUAAUCGCACCUUUUGAAAUUCAUUCAUCUCUAUUAAUGGCGAUUAAAGAAUGUUUUUUUUUUCUGAAGACUAAAUCUUAAAAGAAAUGAGUGAUCACUUUAGAAAGCGUGUAUUUUUGACACUGUUCUUUAAUUGUUAAUCUUAUUUUAAACACAAAACUACACACAUUUGAUCAUCUUGGAGGCAGAAUUCCACCGGGUGGAACAUGUUCAACUCUCCAUAAUUUGACGGCUGUGUUUGAAGUGCCAAUAAUCUCCCCACAUUUGGCAACAACGUUUUCAAACGUCUUUUAGGGACACCGUGGUGGUCCUCUGCAGACAUCUUGAUGUAACUGACUGCAGCCAUAGAUAUCUAAAGGUUAGAUGUCUCGUCCGCGUUGCCGGCCAACGGAGUCGAACAUCCGCACAUGGCGGCCAUCUUGCCAGUCAGCUCGUCACCCAUAACAUUGUGUUAGUGGUUCAUUUACUUUUAAAUAACCAUAACCCAAUUUUCAACCGUUUUAAACGGUUUGGUUUGUUAUAAACGUCAGAGAUGUAGUUAUGACACUGCAUACUAUGAAUAAUUAUGUUGUUCUAAAAAAUAGAAUAAUUUUCCAAAAUAGGGUACAAGAUUUCCCUACACAAUUUCUCUUUUACAAAUAUACAUCAAGAAAUGCUGCAUGUUGUUGAAAUCCCCACUCUGUACAGAGAUGUAUUUAUGACUCUGCAAACUUAUGAAUAAUUAGAAUUAUAACCAUGGGUUUUCAUAAGGAAAUAACAUUAAACAGAACAGAUAUGUGCAAUAAAUACACACAUGCACGAGGGAUGUUAUUUAUGUUGACUCAAUAUAUAGGCUACUAAAACUCAGCAUACAGAAUGGCAACAUGAGAUAUAUGUAUACUUUUAUAAUAGAAAUAUUACUAAUAUAAUAGAAUACGUUUGUAUGCACAGUAUGGUUUAAGUACAAACAACUUUUUGUUUGGUUUUACAGGACUGAUCUUUGCACCACACUGUUGGUUCCCUCAACUUACUGGUUUACACCUCCCGUUACUUUCUAUUCUUAUUUAUUGUUGUUGUGAUUCCUUAUUUUUAUUGAUUUCACUGUUUGGGUCAUUUUUUAUCUCUGUCCUCCAUGUGUAUACCUCCACAGUAGUCUACCUCUCUCUUGAGGGCGGGAAUUUUCAACAUGCAGCAUUUCUUGAUGUAUAUUUGUGGGAAAGGGAAAUUGUAUUACUGCAAAUAAAUGUCACUUUUAUAAAAAAUAUUACCAAUAUAAUUUAUUUGAAUUAUUACACAAACUACUGUAUCAAUUUGAUUGAUUAUGCAAUCACAAAAGCAAAAACUAAAUUUCAUCAGUCUAAGCUGUUUGGAUCACGCUCCCCUGACAGACUUGUAACGUCGCCAUAAACAUCUUGAACUGUAAAUGGCACAGAGCUGUUGGGGGAGCCUGAGCCGCCUCAGUGGAUCUCCUUUUGCUUACAUAGAUGAGCAACCCCUGACACGCCACAUCUUACCAUGCAUAAUUCAUGGAUGCAGGAUCAACCACUGAUCUCUGAAGAUGGUAUGGGUCAAAUUUGUGUUUAAGUAGCAAACUUUUGAUUCUGUCUCAGUGGAGAACAUUGGGAAAAGAAUAUGCGAUGCUUUGAAGCACUUUGAGAGGAGAGGAGAUCCACAGAGAGCUCAGUGAGAAAAGGGCCUGAACGGUGGGAGGACUGAGAGAACAAGAAAGGUUUCAUUAACACUGCUGAACACCAAACCCGUGCUCAUGUUUAUAUUUUUCGACAACAUUGCGGUUGCAUCAUUUUCUGUCUUGUUGAUAUCUUAGCCUAAAGCCAUAGACAGCAUGUGUCUUCCAGAAGUCAAUGGGUUUCCCGAAUGGGGUUUUUGGUUAAAUACCUAAAACAAAGUCUGGGUGGAGCACAAGCUCAAGUAAUUUGCAUUUGUUAAUAAAAAUAUCAGAUAAUACCCCUUUGUCAAAUCUUUGUGCUUUUAUGUGUUUUAAAAAAAGAUGAGACAACAAAAAGCCACUAUACCAUCCUGGUUUCCUCACGCACAUGUGACCGUGUUUACAAUAUAAACACCCGCUUUCAAAUGGGUUACUUUAAACAUUUAUCUAAAGAAGGUUGCUAAACCAGCUGCUGUGGAAGCCAAAUAUAUAAAGAAAACCUAGUCAUUAAAUGUAUUCACUCACUAUGCUCUCUUUCUCCUUCUCUCUCCCGCUGACACACACACACACAAGGUCCAGAGUGCACAUUCUGCACAUAUUCUAAGGAACACCCAUCCCAUAAGUCAGCCUGCAUGAGCUUUUGGGAACUAAAAUGUAAAUAACAACAGACAGGAGAGUAGUUCCUGCUAAGAAAGAGACUGUGACUAAAUUAGUGCAGUCUGCGUGGUACAUCUCAACUGUCAUGUUUGAGGCGUUUAUGUAAAGAACACAUACACUUUCUAACACACACACAUGCACAUAGUACAUAUAUACCUUUGGUCUUGAUCAUUUUGCGUCAACUUCCACUGCAUUAUUUAUGUUGAAGGGAGCAUAUCCUGAGGAGACGUUGUCCUCCACCGACCCCAGAGUUCUGUUUGUGUGCUCGCAUAUUGAGAUGAUGUGCCUAUAUGAGAGAAUGACCCGACAUUGCCAAUUACACAAAUUCAAAAAUAGAGAUAAACGAGGGAUGAUAUCAUCACUGGAAUAAAACAGCCUUCCUGCCAUCAUAUGGCUGUGGAACAGAAACGCAUGCAAAUACAGGGCUGGUGAAACGCUGGUGCUUCCAUUCGGUCCGGUCUGAGUUUUUCUUGAAAUUGAGGAAAUCUUUUUUGUCAUUCAAAUUGACGCGCGUCAAACUGGUUGGCAUGAUAGCAUGCUGUGCUGUUUUCAGGACUCCUGUGUGUUUAGGUUUUGAUCCUAGAGUGGCAAAGCUUCUUUCUCUAUCUUACUUCAUUCCGUCCUGCCUUGCCCUCGGUCCCGUCACCAAGUUGCUUAUUGUCGUCUUCUGUCAUUUCUAUCAAAAGGUUAAAGGAGGAUUAUUCUCAGUUUCUUUUAAGUUAAUGUGCUCCUUGACAUCACAGUGAGAUGAAGCACAUCAGAAAAAGUGGGUCUACAUAGGUGUUUGUUCGACAUCAAAGGUUAAAUAUCUAACAUGACUGUGAGUAUUGAGUCAUUUGUUUUAUUAAUUUUGUUGUUGUGCACAAUUUUCCACCCCCCAAAAAAGAAUGAAAUCUUGUUGAAUUGCUUAUUUGCGGUAAAAUAGAAACCUCACACGUCUGGGUGGUAAUUUCUCCUGACAGGAAGCACUUUUAAACGUUUGAGAGGCCGCGCUGCCAGGAUUCACCCUGUUGACUUUAUGCCCUUGUGCCCUAGUCCCUAGUGAAGUGAGUGACAUGAUUAUGUAUUAUGUUGGCUCAGUGGAGUGGAGGCACAAUAAUGCUCUGAACACAUUAUUUAACACUGACUAGCAACUGGGGGGCUUAUUUUUUGUUUCUCUAGCUGAAGAAAGCUGAGGUUUCCUUAAUAGUGUUAGCAUUCACACUCAACUACUUCCUACAUUUCCUCUCCACCUCUAUUUUUUAUAUAUAUAUUGCAAUAUUUCUCCUUACCAAAUGCUCCAAAACUAAGUUCAAUCAGGAGGGACUUCUUGAAUUUCACAAUAAUGUAUUAAUACAUUUGAAUAUUGCAAAGUCCUCUGAUAAGCCGGGUUUUGCUGCUGGUUGGAGGUCUCCUGGUGGAGGGCUGCAUCUGCUGCGCCCGGAGAUGACAACUGACAGCAACACAGAGGACAACAGUUUCAAAAGUUUGACAGUACGGAUGUGAUUGGUUUACAGAAACGGUGCCCACAUCUGGUUGGCUACUUCUAAACGAGCCCGCCCCCAAUCAGCUGACAGCGUAACCACAGGGAGAGAUGCUGCAGCUGAACUGCACACGCUUCUUCAGCUUGUCUUCCUCACUGAAUUUACGCCUAAGCUUCAUUUUAAACAUCUGCUGUUCCAUCAAACACAGCUCUGUAUUCCCCCAACUUCAAAUCAAACGCAGCCCAAUUGAGCAAAUAACCAACUCAAACUGGCACGGUGGUGAAAUGAUACAAUGAACAACAGCAGCAGUAAAAACCCUCUUGCUGAAUAUUGAAGUGAUGCUCAAUCAUAUAUUGCAACAAUCAAAUUGCAGGAUUGACAUUGUGAAAUAUGUAUACAAAAAUUCUCUUGAUAACACAGAAUGUAUUUUUCUUAGUAGUUCAAAUGACCAAAUUAGAAUAUAGAAACAUAGGGUUACCCCCCUCCUCAAUUCAUUCUUUAAAAUGAAUUUUCUUUGCCACAUAAUAUGAACACGGGUACUGCUGAUUGUGGUAUUAGUAUGCAAGUGUGUAUGCACAUACCAUGCUGUGGGCUUGGCUCCUGCCAGCGCAUGGGGUGAGGGGGGGUUACAUAUUAUGGAGGCCAUGUGUGUGCAUGUGUAACAGACAUGCACACACGUACACCAAUCCCUGCUGUUACUACUGAGGUUUCAUCAUUCACACACUCUGCUCACAAAAGGAAAGCAAUUAUGAAGGAUCAGCACAUCUUGUGAUGUGGAAAAUGCACCCUGGAACACUCAUGGCAGGAACGUGUGUACAGGGCUAUAUGUCCGCGAUGGGGGGGGGGGGUUGUGUGUGUAACUGCAUUGAGUCAUCUAAUUGGGAUUCUGCAGUAUGCAUCCGCAUUUGCCGUCAUACAUGCAUGUGUGUAUGGUGAGCCCAUCACAGCGCUGCUGUUGAAAAUGUUAAUUCUCCGCCUACGUACCCGCCCGCCCACCCUCACGAUGCCUCAUUACCUGUGCAAAGGGAAUCAGCCCACUGAUUCAUUCCAAAUAGGUUUUUAAAGAACAGCAUGCAAACGUUACUGCAGCUCACGGCCGGCAUGAACCAUACCCGGAAAUAUUCAGUCAAAGCAAUACAAAUAGAUCACAUGAUCAGGGUGAGAAAGGCUGUUGUAACGUCCGCGCACCCCCCCUAUGAUUAUCUGGCCCGAACCUGAAAUGAGUUUGGACCCCCGCGUGUGUGUUUCCAUGCAUUUGUGCGUGUGUGUAUGUAUCAAUGUAUUCAAAAGUGCUGCAGCUUGUUGCUCCGAUUUUCUUUUUUAACGCCCAAAAAUAAACAUGAAUUCCUGUCUAAGAGGCCUAAAAUACAAUGAGCAAAACCCUGUUGUGUGUUUGUGUGUGUCUGUGUGUGAGUGUGUCGUGGAGUGCCUCCCUAUCUCCGUGGGCCUGCGUGCAGUCACAGCUUUUGCUGCUUGCGCGUGCAACUUCCUGGAAAGCAGCUCUGACUAAUCUGGCCACCCAAACAGUAACAACAACAACAACACGCCUGAGAGAUGACCCCCAACCACACCGAGGAUAUUACACUUACACACUACACACGCACAGGCGCACAUGUGUCUGCUGCCUCACUGUCUCCGUCUCCUCCGUGGGCCAUCUGGCUCACACGUUAAUGAUAACAUGAUCACGGAGGAUUUGCUAUAGUUAUUGGAUUAGCAAAAGGUCACCGUGUCACUUUCGCAGUGUCGCAGCUUUCGAGUCCCUGCUGCUGCAUUUUGUUAUUAUCUGCCACAAUUCCAAGAAAUACACCCACAAACCCCCCCCCCCACACACACACACACACACAAACGAUGGAGGUUUCACCAAAACACAUCAGGUCGUAAACAACAGCUGCGCUUCUGUUGUAUUAUUUAAUAGUGACUCUUGUAUUUGUGUUGAGAACAGUGAAAUGGGGCUUUUUUUUACAUGCAUUUAUUCCUGUUUGAACAGUUAAAUGAAAGUCCGGGCUGGACCGGAUUACCUGGGAUUAACAUGGACUAUCAGUACCCAGUUUAUUUGGGCCAGAGGUGUCCUCCUCUGCUCCUGGUAUCAGUGAAAAGACUCACGGUCAGAAGCUGGAUUCACCCCCUGUUUUAGAUGCGACAUGGAUGUUACUCAGAAAUCAUGCCUUUUGUUUUUUUGCAGAUAAGUCAAGUAGUGACGGGAGCGUUACCUUGUUAUGGCUUUUUGUGUGUAUUUCUAAAAGGGUUAUUAUUAGUAAUAGUAUCAGUAACAUAUUUUGGGUUCAGAAACAUUGAUAUCUAAUCUAUACAACGCGAUUUGCACAAGCGUACAGCGCUUGAUGCAAUAGUGAUUUCAUUAUCUGAGCUUAGCUUGGUAAUUUUAUGCAAAUGUGGGAUCCACAGUUCUCUGAUCUUGGCUCGUAGGGACUUGAGGUGAGAAUAUGUCAACUUUUGCCUCUGUGAAUUUCACAGUUUUUGUUUCUGUGGAUCGCAUAAUAGCUAAAUACUAGAGUAGAGAAUAGCUAUAAUUGAUCUUUUUAAAGUGUGGCUCGGGGUUAAAUUCAUCAAAUGGGCCUAUUGGCAGACUGUUUUACCUUCAUAGCGCCGUGUAAGAGUUCCCUCUAAUGCAGACGGCACCAAGAGAAGUGCAGAACUCAUGCUCUUCCCCACUGAAGCUGAAACAGAAGGAAAAACAAUUUGGUUUUGCCGUCUGGGCUAUUUUUCAUGCGGAGGUUGUCAAACACACCAUGUGCUCUUGAAUGCCGUCCACAGCAAUUUUUUUCAUCCUGUGCAAGCCUGGAUGGGCAAAAUAAAAUGCAAGAGCAGCACAGAAACAAAGCUUUUCCAUGAUAAAAAGAAUUGCAUCCUGUUGCAAUUAGAUUUAGAAUUAGCAUCCGUAAUGUGGCACAUUUCCUUAGUUCCUCUGCAGCACAAUGUUUUGAAAUGUUCAACAUCGUUUUACAUCUUUGAGUAUGCUGUAGAUUGAAGCUGAAAGUGGCCUUAUUUCGAAUAUACCUGUUGGUUUAUCUUCUAAAACAUCCUGUGGGUUUGGAACCAGCGUUGCACUCAUUAGACUGUAACCCAAGAGGUGUGUAAACGCUUCACCCAAAUGUAGAAGUUGCACAGCUGUUUACAAGCAUUUCAACCUCAACAUACCUCUCAAGCAGAGUAACCGACCGCCUGUUGGUGCCAAGACUUUGUAGACAGAAUUUUUGUGGUUUCAAAGCCAAGUAGCAAAACAUCGUUUCCAUUGCCGCUGCUGUUUUUUUUUGAGUCGUUCUGAAAAACCACGUCUGGCUCUGCGUGUCUCAUCAUCCUGACCCAUAUCCAUCCCUCCCCUUUGUCCUCAUCGCCCUCCUUCUGGCCGUCUGCAAGAGUUAUCAUGUGUGGAGGGAAUGAGUUCAUUUUUCAGACCACGAGACAAUACCUCACCCUUCCCGCUCUGGCGCUCUAUCUGAAUCACGGAUCGGGAGGAGGUGGAAAACAUCUCGGCAGUCCAAAACAAACAGCUGUGUGUGUGCGUGUGUGAAUCACCAUUAAGGGCUGCGGUGCUGUGAUAUGUUUCCAGUAGCCUGCUGUCAGGUGGCCAAUGCAGAGAGGGACUCCUACAGCUCCACCGGUGUCUCUGUGGGCCGCCGCUCAGAUAAAUGCGUUACGCUGACAGACAGCCUCUACGAACGGCUCGCCAAUUGGUUUACAAUCUCAAAGGAUUGACUGUUUUCUAACCCCCCUCUAGCUAAAUGACUGCCGGGAAUGAAUGACUGACUCGUUAGGACAGCAAGCAGUGGGAGAUUAGGUAGCAGAAGAGUCAUCUCUGGUUUGUUCAAAGACAUGGACUUUAUAGACCGUAAGUAUUGGAUGUUGUCAUCGUAACAUCGCCCAUUGGUUGGAGGACUCGGCGGUAAAUGGCAGGUUUACGCCAUCUUAAAUAUUUUUGAAAUUUUUGACACAUUAGUCUUUGUUGAUAUGGACGGAUGUGAUAACUUCCUUGCCUGCUUGUUAAAAAGCUGAUUGGAUGUUUGUACUUUGAAUAAUUGAAUUAUUCAGUUGUUGGCAGACAUGUUAACUGAAAAGCUGAGUUAAUGAGUCCUUGGCAACAACACUGAGCAAGAAGUCUGACCAGCAGGAUGGGAUGAAGGUGGGGAGAACAAAUGGUGUGCAUAAGUGGGAGAGAGAAUACGGUUCUGAGAAUCCAAUUUGGUUCCAUUAGGGAUGAUUAGGUUUUGAUGACGGCUGUGAGCCGCAGAGCUGCUGAGAUUAUGGGUUGAGCUGCAGUCUUGAUACAACCUCAGAUAAACCGAAGUGGUUUUGUAUCUCCAUUGUCCUGAAUCCUUUUGGUUUGGGGGAAAUCCUGCAGUGUUUAUGCAGAACAUAUUAUAAGUGGUACUUUGGUAGAGUGGAAACACAGUGCAGCUUCAAUCUCACCUGAAAUCAAACCACAGAGAGCUGACGGAGAAUAUGUUGCAGACUACGGAAAGAAAAAGUAGCCUUUCAGAGCCUAUUUCUCUUUGACAGAAAUUAAAGUGUUUUCUUGUGCUGCCUGCUAUGUAGCUAAAAUACCACUUACUAUUGGCUGUGUUGCAUCGACCCAAUCGAAUACCUGCCCAACACCAUCCAGUACGGACGUCCAGACGCAGGAAAGGCUGCAAAAACAUCCCCUCUUAAUUGAAACACAACAUCAACAACCGGUUCCACACAGUGAAGCUAUUAAACUAGAAGAACAUGGCUACACCUCAGAAGGGUGACUGGUAUCUUUCAACCUGGUUCUUUUGGGAGUUUUUUUCUCCAAAUGACUUAAUUGCUACAACACUUUGUGUCAUUAACGGGGAAGGCAUGCAGGGCUGAAACGCAAAAAGACUUUAAAAGUCAAGAUCAACAUGCCAGGGACCAGGGACCAGGGACCAGGGACCAGGGACCAGGGACCAGGGACCAGGGACCAGGGACCAGGGACCAGGGACCAGGGACCAGGGACCAGGGACUCACAAGACAUUCGGUAUGACGCAAAGGCCAACAGACACACGUGGCUUAAAUACACUGUUGAGGUGCAGGUGAUUGGACACAGGUGAAAACAAUCAGACACGGCAGACAAUCGCAGGACACGGCAGGAAGUGAAGUUACCAGGGACACAAGAGGCCGAAAACUACAAAAUAAAACAGGAAACAAACCCAAACCGUGACGCUUUGAGCACCCGAUUUUUAAGGCAGCAGAGGCUAAACGCGCCUCUCAAAGUGUUUGAUAACACUAUGGAAAGAUCCCCACAAGAAAUGAAACCUUACUUAUAAUGUAUUUUGGAAGGCGUCCUCCUGAUAUGAGUGCCAGUAAAUAUGUGUAAUGUUGGGUGAGAAAAAGAUUGACCCGGUUAUAAUUUCUUGAGCUGGUAUGUCAUAGUGGCAUUUAACAGCUAAAAUGUGAAAAUAUCCUAAGCUUCUCAAACAGAAAGGCUUUGACAUGGAACUAAGCUCCGUGGAAAUCGUAUUUGCAGUUAAUGCCUUCAACCUAGCCAAGCGCUCGCCCUCGAUGGCCCUGAGCAGAGAGCUGAAUCUGUUUCGGGGAAGCGGUUGCCGUGGCUCCCGAUGCUGUUCCGCUGCCAAGCUGGCUCCUGGCCCACUACGUUCCUCUCCUCUUCCCGGAAGGAGCAGGGAAAACCUUGGGAACCAUGGCAACGCCAGCCGGCCAAAUCAGGAGUCAUUUAUAUGUGUCCAUUUCUAAAUUCAAUGUUAAUUUGAGGCAUUCCUUCAGAUGGUUUUAUUAUGAUUGUGCGUCUUUGUGUUUGUAUGCAUGCGUAUGUGUUUAAGAGCUUUGCAGCCAUACAGAAUAUUAAUCACAAGGCCCCAAAGCCCAGAGCUUGUUAGCUACUCAGGGACCAUUUAAGUAGCUGCUUUACAAUCUGCUGCAUUGCACCUUCUGUAGAGAAAGACAACCUCAUCUGAGAAAACUUCUCACCGCAGGCCUUAUUUACACUUUUUUCGUUUUUACAUUUGUGUAUAACAAUCCUAAUUUUCAGUUUAAACGGCUUCGUUUUUUUCUGCGUUGUAGUCUGUGCAGAAUUUGCAUCUGUCAAAUGUCGGGUGUUUAUGAAAGUUGAUCCUACGGGGAAGAAUCACAAUCUUUACAAAUAAAAGCGAAUGGAAGGCAAGCAGAUGGGUUAGAGGGGGAGGAAAAGGGAGAGGUGAGCGCAGGCCGCAGUUAGAUGGAUACAGAAGAGAGAUGGAGUCAUUUAGGGACAGCGAGACGUAGCAGAGGGAGGCGAGCAGAGGCAAGGCGAACAAGCAGACCAGUGUUUUCGAAAAACCUCCCCAGACAGCCUGAGAAAAACACACCGCGGAAACCCACUGCGAGGUUCAUCUCAGGUAGCGGCGGCUGAUGAUAAUAAUGAGGCGGCAGCGCAGUAGAAAGCGGCUCGGUUAGUGGUUGGUUGUCGUUUUCUCGGAAGAUUGUUAUCUCUAGAAUUGUCAAAUGACUCAUCUGUCGCCUUCUAUUCCGUUAUCUGUCAGUUGAGCUUCAUUUGUUUGAAUUGAUUGACAGCAUUUAACAAACAUCAACAAGAAUGACACAGUAAAUGAUAAUAAAUCACGGAGCAACACUUUGUGGCUGCUGUCUAAAUGGUUAAAGACGGCAGCAUCCUGUCUGUCCUGCUUCGUGUCCCGUAUGCACCAAUUCCCUGCACUUCUCGCUAUGUGAGUACCCUUAUUGAUGUGCAGCAUUCUCAAGCCCAUUUCCCGUAUGUUGAACCAUGAAUACUAAAUGCCUUUCUCAAACCAUAAUCCAAAUUUUGACCUGUCCCUUAAAAAACCUCAUCUCAAUCAGGCCCGUGGAAGUUGGUUGGUUACUAGAAACGGCGAAGGACGGCAGGUUGUCGCAGAGCGUUUUGUAUGCUUGCAGCUGUAGCAUUGCAGCAGAGAUGCAUGGUGACUAUGAGGUGAACCCCACCCUGCCUCGCUAUGCGCUUUCAGGGGCCUCGCGUGUUGUCCGAUCCAUCAGGGGAGCACAGCCAGAGAAAAAGUAAGAGCUGAAUAAUUUCACCUCCUUCAGUUUCACUGUGACCAAGAGAGAAAACAAGUGACAAGCCUUUGACGGGAACUCCAUUCGUCUUUCUCAGAAAGACAUUUUAUUUUUGCUUGGCUGCAGCUUUUAAUACCCAUUACCUCUGCGAGUUGCGUCCACGCGAGAAGCAGCCAAAUAAAGCAAAUGAAUAAUCUCUCUUUCUGUACGCUAUCAACAUUAACGGUUUCAAAGAGUUUUAGCCAGACUUGCGUCUGGCAUGAGGUCAGCGCCGCAGCUGUUUUCAUCACCUCGCUCAAUUCUGGGAAGGGAAUCAGAUGCCAAGGGGUCAGUGAGUGCGUGAGAGAGCGCGAAUAUCAGCUGUACAGUAAAAAAAAAGAAGGGGGUCACUGAGUUGGUGGAGCGGGAGAGGCGAGCUGCCCGAGUGUCUCUUUGUUUGAGUCGGAGUCCUGGAGUCGAUGGCGAGAGCGAGCAGAGCAGCAGACACGGCGCUCUGGAGAUGCUCCGUCUUCCUGGAAAGAAUGUGACCUGUAGCGACAUGCCUCCAACGGUCCGUCCUGCACCGCACGCCAGAGCUGGAACCCCGUGCUCACAUCAAAAAGGAGCAGGUUGCAGUUUUGACUCAGUAGCCUCCAGGGGGCCUUACGGGUGCAGUUUUCCAUAGAAAUAUUAAUGCAACGUGUGAAAACGUAAAGGCUCAUUCUGGCCUCUAGCUUCGGUGUUGUUCCUUUUAGAAUUUAAAUCCAUACUUUUCCUGCCGCUUCUAAAAAGAAAACCUUGUCCGGCGUGACCUGUUACAUAUACACAUAUUUUCUUAAAGAUAAUUGAUGAAAAAAGGCCGUUUAUUGUUCUUGUCACAGCCAAAACACUCCAGUUUAACCCCACUUAAAGAAAAUAACAAUACAACUUGAUCUGGCGUUUGCUUUGCAGCAAUGUUUCAAAGUUUUAGCCAGAUAUCCCGGCAGCCUCUGGACUCUUGUCGCCUUCAUCCGGCCAGCAGUGUGGUAGGAGGACGAGGUCAUUUGUAAUACGCAUUCAUGUUCUUUGUGUUUUGCGAGUUUUUGUUGUUUACAGAAACUCUUUUAGGGAGGAUUCUGGCUUUAUUGGUGGGAGAAGUCCUUUUAAGCCCACUGGUGCUGCCUGGGGAAUGUCUCUGAAGCCGGAGGAAUGCACUGACAUCACUGUUGAGCACUUUGCCAGGACUGAAUGGUUGGGAGUAGUUAGACGAUGGGAGUCCAACUCCGUCUCCUCAGUGUCCUCCCCAUGCAAGGUAAUGGUAUUCCCAGAUGUUCCGUUUUUGGCACUGCAGAGUGUUUAUAUGUGAGCACACAGAGAAGGUGGUUUCCCUGGAAAUUCUAAUGUUAGUGGGAAGAAGGUUUAAAUGAUGAGUUUGUCUUGAAAAAUUCAACACACAACUCAACAACCGCCAUUGGGUGGUGUGCUGUGAAACUUGUGCAGGCAUCCAUCUAUUUCAUCCACUUACUUUGCUGGUCUUUUCUGCAGCGCCACCUGCAAGUGGAAAUAUGAUUGUUUUUGGUCUCAUUCUCUCAUUUCAAAUAGCGCAAGACUACAAGUAGACUUCAAAAACUGCUAAAGUUAUUAUUAACAAAUGUUAGUGUGCUAACACGCUGAACUAAGAUACCAACCAUGGUAAACAAUCUAAUGAUGUCAUUCCUGGCAUGUUAGCAUGCUGAUAUUAGCAAUUAGCCUGAAAUACCAUUGUGCAUUAAAGCUACAUUCUGAUUUUUCAGCGUUCUAACAUGUUGUCUUUGUGUUUUGUUUGAUAUAUCUGAUGAAAAUGUAGAUACCUCACAUCGGCCUUACCGCUUUCCUUCUUUUUCUGCACUUCGUGAAUGAAAUUACCUGAUCGCGAGCUUGCUAGAUCUUUGGCCAACGUAAUUUAUGUGAGUGGCAUGAAUUAUAUGAUUACUUUUUAAUUGAUUUUCACGUCUACAUGAACACCACCGCAGCUCUCACAAAAUGAUUAUCCAGUCUUUUUAUUAAUACAUUGUACAUACAUUAGUUUAUUUAAUGAGAAAUGAACAUGUAGACGUCUUAAAGUCUUUUUUGUUUGUUUUUUAGAAAAAGGCCUCUGGCUUAAUAUUAAAUAGAUGUAAAAUGAUGUUUCCUCACUUAUGCAUUAUAGAUGAAGCCCUUCUUGCUUCAUCAAGAGCGCUUGUGAGCGGCUUUCAUGCUCUUUGGGGGAGAAAGAGCACGCUGGCUGCACCAGCCCCAGAACCAGUGCUGCGAUAUUGUAAACAAACGCAGGAGGAUGUGCAAUGCCCCCCCCCCCUCGCUCCCUUUGCGCACACACACGGUUUCCACACGUCUAUCUGUUUCUGUUUAAGUGUGAGAUAACGAUGGGCGGGUGCUUCCACAGAAGAGGUAGGAGGCGCCGACUGCCGAGAAGCAGCGUGAAAGCAAAGCGCCAAGAGAGCUAUGUGCGUGCGUGUGCGUGUGUGUGUGUGUGUGUGUGGUGUGUGUGCGUGCGUGUGUGUGCGUGCGUGUGCGUGUGUGUGUGUGUGUG